UCGCUCCUCCCGCACAGCCGCACUCGCGCCGCCCCCUUCCUCUUCCUCCCGCCUCACCUCUCUCUCUCCUUCCAAACCCUAGGCCCGAGCCCGCCAUCGCUGCUUUGCCCUCCCUCUCUCCGACCCGACCCGCCACCCUCCUCUGCACCUUCGCCACCGGCCAUGUCCGCCCCCACCAGCAGCUUGGCCCGGCACCGAGCGACGCCGAGAGCUAGCCGCAUCGGGCGGUGUUGGCGCCGACGGCGCCGUCCGCGUCCACGCGCCUCUGUCGUCUCCUUCCUUCCCCCGGCUGGCCGCAUCCAUAUCCUCUCUGUCGCCGUCCGACCCAGAUGCGGCCGCAGUCCGCCGGCGCCGCAGGCGGAGGAGAGUAGAGAGGCGCCGCGGGUCAACGGCGUCAGGUGCGUCGGCGCCACGCGGCUCGACUGCCGCAACGGCACCAACACCUUCGUGCUAAUUACGCGCGGCAAGGUCCCCGACAUGACGGCCGCCGUGGUGGACUUUCGUGCCAUCCUCGCGGACUGCGCGCAGAGGUGCCUGGGUGGCUGCUCGUGCACGGCGUACGCCAGCGCCAAGCUCAGUGGCGUGCCAUGGACCAGCACACUCGAGGUCCUCCGCGUGUUCCCCAACUUCAGCCGGGACCUGUAUGUGCGCCUUGCCGCUUCUCAUCUUGGAGGGUCACGGCCAAUGCUCUCCCCGAUCUAACUACACGACCAGCCAAAUGAUAUGCCGUGGAUUCACUGUCCAGUUUGUCAGUCUGGGUUCAUAAGCUGCUGCUCCUUUGGAUUGGUUGGGUCUGCACCUGUUGCUGUUUUGGAUUGGCUGGGUCUGCAGCUGCUGCUCCUUUGGAUUGACCUCUAUUUGGUUUAUGCAUUCCAUUUUUCUAGGUGGAUCAGUAUGACUAGCUAGAAUUCAUAUAGAACCAUAUGUGUAUGUAAGUGUUGUUUGAUGCGUUUGUGCUCGUCGGCGGGACGGUGCAAGGCGCAACUCCGACGCGGUUCCUCGCCGGUUGGACGGCGUUCAGGCGCAACCCCGGCGCGCACUGAGUAUUGCCUCGGCUACAACCUCCCUCGGUGAACUCCAUCUUCCUCCUGCUCCUCUGCUUUGGCUACUGUAUCCAGAAACAUGAGACGGAUCGAAACCUGAGCGUUCUCAGCGAUUAGAGCAUUCUGGCCGUCCGAUCGUUUCCUUGAUGCUGUUCUGGCCGUUGGAUCUCGGGCUCGGUCGCUGUGGGCCGUCAGAUAUUUACCCGAUCGUCUCCAACCGUCGGAUAUUUUCCCCUGUGAGCGGUGUCCCGCCCGGCCGUGCCAACGCGCGUUAUUUGGGUGCCCCCCGAGGGUAUUCUCAUCAUUUCGCUUUGUCUGUGGCGGUGGCGUUCGUGCUAGGGCGAUGAUGAUUAACUGUGGCUGAAAUAAGUUUGCCUUUGAGCAAUCGAGGCACCUGUGGGGUAUCAAGUUGGGUCCUCCCUGUUGUCUCUGGAGAAUCCUUUUUGAUCCUGUGAUACCUAUUGAUCUGUCCUUGGAUGGUCAUUCUUGUUGAUUGAUAACCAGGGCAGCUCCAUUGUAUAAACAGAUUGAUCUGGUGAUAAGAGAUGAUGGGGGUAGGUUAUAUGAUCGAGGAAAGGCGAAUCUGAGCCCACUAUGCAAUGAACAUCAAACCCUUUUUAUUUGUGUUUAAAGGCGUUGCUUACUUAUGCUCCAGUGUUUAUAGCCGUCUUAUGUAAAGAUUUAUUCUCUCUUAUAACUUUAUUGCAUAAGUUGUUCUUGAUCUUUUAUUGUUUGUUGUUGGUCCUUGAUUUAGUCUGGUUAGGAUUUCUUCUCUGUCUUAUGUAAAGAUUUCUUCUCUCUCAUACCAAUGUUUUGUCCAUGUAGUAACAGAUAUAUAUUUCAAGCAUGACAUGAAUAAACCUGAAUGGUCUUUGAGAUGAGAUGCAUGGUUGUACAAUAUUGGGUACUAAGUUAGAGAUCGGCUGUCCCUAUGAAUGCAAACUAUUGUUAGCUAUAAAUAUGUUUGCCUCCUACAGUGUUUGGCCUAAUUAGUUAUUGGGUUGAUUUUGGUAGUUCUACUUUUUUGCUGCCAACAAUCUGCAAGUUAAUGUUCAGGGUGUGCUUUGGCCUUGGGAUUCUUUACUGUUUUUAUUCUAGAUGUGGUGGUCUUAUUAGUCAGAUCAACAUUUCUUUUAUCGGGCUUUACAUGGCUAAUAUGCAUAUCCGGUAGAACAGAGUCUGCUCAUGCAUUCUUAUGCUAUUUUCACGUGUGUUUAUCUGUCUUGUGUUCAGCUGGUUUUUCCCUUCAGUCAGUUCAUUGCAUGAAACAAGCACUAUAGCUGACAUGUAACUCGAGUGCCUGACAUGUAACUUGAGUAUUCAGUGCAUAUAGUUUGUGCCUUUGUGUAUGCACAUUUUUCUUUCUUUCUUAGAAAGCUGCUAUUUUCAUUUAUUUGGAGAACACCUCUGAAUUUUUAUUGCACAUGAAACGAGUCGCUGUCACUACCCAGCACAUGAGUACUCAAUGUGUGUAUUUUGAGGUCUACGUCUUCAAAAGAAAUUUGACUAUUUAUUAUAUGGGGAACUAUAGUUAGUAGCGUGUAACUAGACUCCUAUUUGGAGCAAUGGCAUCGUUGAUACUGGUCUCUGAUUUAUGAUUUGAUCCACCGCCCCUCCAGCCUGCCCCUCCAGUACCGCGGUUUUUUUUUUUGCAUGAGGUUUCUGGAUAAUUUGCAGUUCGGUCGGUGCCGUGGCGGAGGGUUGUCUUGUGGUUUGACCGGAGAGGGAGCACACCAGAGGAGCGAUCUCGUCCCCAUUGGUCAGCACAUUUACCUGCGAAUCUCCAGGCUAUGGUACCAGCGGGGUGGCUUCGAUGAUGGCCCUGUCAAGAGUAUACAUAUGGUCAUGACCGACGAAAGGGAAAUCAUGCCAACGGGACGGUGCCUAAUGAGGUCAUAGACAUGUUUGUGGACACUUUGAAUGAGAGAAAUUUAUACAAGCGUGCCAGGAUCUAUGUGAGGCAGUGGAAGGCACGUAUACGUUAUGGUUCACUAGAUCAACAAUUGUCCAUCACCUUGAGGGUGUUCCAUUUGGUCAUGUCUAUUAACAUGCUUAGUUGCUUCUUCUUUAUUAUGUUUCUGCUCCAAUAACUUUCUCAUAUUAUAUCACUUUUGUUAUUAACCAUCGUAUCGAAUGGCUGCGCUUUUGGUUUUGAGGUUCCUGUCGAGUGACUUUUUUUUAAUCUAAUGAACGAGCUGAGAUCAAUUAUGCCUUA